ensembl:lincRNA
UAUCUCUCUGUGGUCUCUCCCCCCUGCCCCCGCCCACCUCCGCUUUCGGCCACGUCUCACUUCCCUUUUCUCUCCUCUACGCGCCCUCCCGCCCCUCUGUCCAGGCCCCUUUCAUCCUGAGGCUCGAAGUGGAACUUUCCCCCACUCCCUUACUUGGAGAUUUCUUUUUUCCCAGUGACCUGGGCUGCACUUUGCCCCCGCUCCCUGCCUGCCAAUCUCCUCGGGGGUAGGGCCUCUCUCUUUCCAUUCUUGCGACUCCCCCUCCUCGAGAGCCCCGGGAGGCCCAGCCUCCCAGAAUCCGAUCUCCCCCCAACGCAGCAGCCCCCCGCCGAGGAAGGAAGAGGCCUCCUCGGAAUGAAUGGCUGACAGGGGAGCUCCAAACUUCCAAUAAAUCUACCAUGAAAAAACCAGCUGGGACCCAAAGAGAAAGCCAUAAGGAUGUUUACGGACUCUCAGCUCUCUGGGGAGGCAGCUAAGUUUCACGUGCUAGUAAUUCUCUCUUUCUGAAUGCUUCCUGCUUCAGGCUGGUCAGCCUUGACUUACCCCAGAGGACACCAGGACAUUGGCCAGAGAAUCAGGGAGGGAGAUAGGAUGCAAUCUGAAUGGAAGAUGGGGCAAGUGGCUUGACCUUGAUCGCCGUUAGAAGCCUGACCUUCAAGACUGGACCAAGCUAUGUCUAUUCAUGGCCCACGAUGGUGGAGGACUCACUAGAAAGAAAAAUCUUCACCGGGGCUCUAAAGCCAUCCACCCACUGCCUUCAAGGGGAGUACUCCUCCAUUCUUCACCUUGCUCCCCAGGAAAUGGGUAGGGUGAAUGCAGAGAUGAUGAAGCUGACAGGCAUUACAUCAAAUUUUACACGCAAAUACACACAUUUGAAUCCCUCUCUUAAUUUUUUCAUUCCUCCACCAAGGAAUAACAAGUCAGUAGUCUCUAAGGUAGCCAGUCUCUUCACUUGUGAUAAUUUAGGGAACAUGAUGGAAAAGACCGUUGGUGAAACAGAUUUGGAGUUCCCUCCCACAGGUAUUGUACGUUUGGAUUCUGAGUCUCCUCGGCAUCCUGGAGCAAAUGCCUCCUCUCCCUGUGAGGUUCUGAUGGAUGGAAAUGGCAGCCCAAGGAUCACUAGCCAAUCAUGAAACCAAGUGUAGCUUUUAGAGUGCUAUGGUUUAGAUGUGAGAUGUCCCCCAAAAGCUCAUGUGUGAGACAAUGCAAGAAGGUUCAGAGGAGAAAUGAUUGGGUUAUAAGAGUCUUAAAUCACUAAUCAGUGAUUUAAUCCCCUGAUAGGGAUUAACUGAGUGGUAACAGAAGAGGUGGGGUGUGGCUGAGAACGUGGGGACUGGGGUGUGGCUCUGGGGUAUAUAUUUGUACCUGGCGAGUGGAGACAGCGUUCUCUCUCUGCUUCCCGACCAUCAUGUGAGCUGCUUCCCACUGCCACACUGUUCCGCUUUACCUCGAGCCCCAAGGAAUGGACCAGCCUUCUAUGGACUAAGACCUCUGAAAUUGUGAGCUCUCAAAUAAACUUUGCCUCCUAAAAUACUUCUGCUUAGAUCUUUUAGUCAUAGCAGCAAAAAAGCUGACUUCAAUAAAGAGUCUCUGGG